AGUAACACGUGGGUGACCUGCCCUUAGCUCUGGGAUAAGCCUGGGAAACUGGGUCUAAUACCGGAUAUGACUCCAUGACGCAUGUUGUGGGGUGGAAAGCCUUGUGCGGCUAGGGGAUGGGCCCGCGGCCUAUCAGCUUGUUGGUGGGGUGAUGGCCUACCAAGGCGACGACGGGUAGCCGGCCUGAGAGGGCGACCGGCCACACUGGGACUGAGACACGGCCCAG
rnacentral:rRNA from 1 species